GAUGAACGCUGGCGGCAUGCCUAAUACAUGCAAGUCGGGCGAACAGACGAGGAUCUUGCUCCGCUGACGUUAGCGGCGGACGGGUAAGUAACACUUGGAUAGCAACCACAGAUGGAAGGGGCAGCUCAUACAACGUGGGCUGAGGACCGAAAAGAUAAAUAAGCCUGAGGAUGGGCGCGCGACUGAUUAUCUAGGUGGUGAGGCAAUAGCUUACCAAGGCGAUGAGCAGUAGCUGGUGCGAGAGGAUGAGCAGCCACACUGGGACUGAGACACGGCCCAGACUCCUACGGGAGGCAGCAGUAGGGAAGAGGGCGCAAUGGGCGAAAGCCUGACGGAGCAAUGCCGCGUGAAAGUAGAAUGCCUACGGGACGUGAACUUCUUAUCCCAGAGAAGAAGCAAUGACGGUAUCUAGGGAAAAAGCAUCGGCUAACUCGGUG
rnacentral:rRNA from 1 species